CUCGCCCACCAAUCCUGCGGCUUUAGGUGAUUGGGAGACACAGACAUCAAAAUUAACAGCGCAGUGUGUAACCAGAACCUCCUGAGUCCUACAGUAAGGCGAAUUCAGAAACUGCGCAGUGACAGGACCACAGCAGUCGCCAGCAGGGAGCGAGUCUCAGAGACCCGUCUGUGCUCAGGAGGGACUGUCUGAUUCAUGCUACGCAGAAUGUGGCUGUGAUGGCUGGACCACGAGUAACAGCUUCAGAUAAUGAAGCUGAUGCCACGUGUUGAAGAUGUCAGAGCAACCAGAGAAGGCACCUCCCUCACCAGCUCUGGGCAGCAUGCCAGCAGACUCUGUUUACAUGAGAGAAAUACUGUUCUCUCUUGUUUAAGAUAAGACUUUUGCUGUUGCCGUGGAGAAAGGAGACGAGAAAAUCUGAAGGAAUUGAAAAGAUGAAAUAGGAUCUGAGCCUCAAGAAGUGGGCACCUUGCAAUCGUCAGAACAAUAGACGUGCACUUGGAGCCUCGCUGCAGGCGCUAAGGUGCCCCACUCACAAAUCAACUUCCCCACGCACACGACCACUCGGCAACUGUGCCCAUGCCGCCUGGUUUGCAGGGAAGAAGCCGGGGGAGGGAGAGGGCCUUGCUGUCUGAAAGUUUUCUCCAGACCUCACCAUGCUCAUCCCUGGAAGGCACUGCCAAUGAGGUCAUGCCCAUCACACCUUGUCAGGGAUUGUCAGGGUGGUCCCAGUCCCAUCACUCUGAGACUGGGGGUCUGCACAUCCUCACUGAGGCUGAACCUGGGAAACUAGACCCUGCUGGGUCCUUUUGGCUGGGUGAGUCCAUGUUUCUCCCUCCCCUGUGAGGCAUCAGUGUCCUGAUUGUAUCACAGCUUCAGAAUUCCCUGACUCAUGCCAUCCUCAGGUUCUAGAAAAGCGCUUAUUCA